rnacentral:lncRNA from 1 species
UGGUACCCAUACUGUCCAUUUCUCACUUCCUUCGCAUCUGACACAAUAGUGAUUACUAAAUAUCCUUGCAGCCGCCUCUAUGCCUUAUACCAUAAUUAGGUCCCUCCUGAGUCCAUUCGAAGUCCCCUCCCCUCAAAUAAAAUAAAACCCGUCUUGAGUUUUAGGUAUUAUAUAAUCGUAAACGAUUCCCAUUAAUGCGGGUAUUGAAACAAUGGCCUGUGAAAACCUCCAAUUGAACAGAUCCAUUGGAAAAUCCUUCAAUUAUGCGAUAUGGCCCAUGCCAGCGAACUUGAAAUUUUCCCGGAAAAUGAUUGAAUCGGCUGUCAUACAGCAAUACCAAAUCAUAGGGCAUAAAAUACUUCGGCCGCAGUUUACUAUCAUAGUAACUCUUCCUCCAUUUUUGAGUGGCUUCCAUGUGGAAUAGAGCGACAGCCCGUAUUUC